AGUAGUAACCAUUCCUUUCAUGCCCUACUGAGUAGAUUGGCUGGAGAAAAUCUCUUGUGGUUCUCAAUACAAACCAUCCCAGCAUUACUGGAGCUUGUCAGCGUUCUGUGUGUGCUAUGAAGCAUCGCAUUGUAGCUGCUGACUUCGAUAUACCACCAAUAAGAGGUCCAGAAUGAUUCUACAGAUGAGAGCAUACUGUCACCCCUUUCGAGCGACAGUGUUCUCGAGGAUCUUGUCAGGCAGCUUGACGCUCCAGAGGAUGGUGGUUGGAUAAAUCCAAACUCAUGUGAAUGCGAUAGUUUUCACUCUUUUCCGAGUAUCCGUUUGCACAAUCCUCGAGUUGUUACGGACUGCUGUGUGGCUCGCUAUGAAUGUUUCAAAAGAGAAUAUUUGAAGAUACCUUCAACAGAAGAAGAACGGUUACAAAUCGCUACUGGUUUUGAGAAUUGAUGGGAUUUUCCAAACUGAAUUGGCGCUAUGGAUGGAAAACAUAGUCAUACAGGCUCCCAAGAAAGAAGGCAGCGUGUACUUUAAUCAUAAAGGGAACCACAGUAUUGUGCUAUUGGCACUGACUGGACCUGACUACAGAGUUAUAUACUUCGAUGUGGGCAGUAAUGGUAGAAUAUCUGAUGGAGUUUUUGAUAAUUGUUGACUGUCAGAAUGUCUUGAGUCUAAUUCUUUGAAUGUACCAGUUCCUCGAAAUCUACCUGGUAGAACUGUACAGAUACCUUACGUCAUUGUUGCUGAUGACGCAUUUCCUCUAAAAAAUUAUAUUAUGAAGACCUACCCUUUUAGAGGCCAACCAGUGCAAAAUCGUGUGUUUAACUAUAUGCUCUCUAGAGCAAGAAAUGUGCUGAAAACUUUUUUGGGCUCAUAUGCACACGUUUUCGAACAUUACGAACGCAAAUUCUUCUAAACCCAGAGAAAUCGAGACAAAUUGCCAAAGCGAUUUGUGCUCUUCAAAACUUUUUACUCGCAAAAGAGAGUAGAAAGUCCGUUUACGCCCCACCUGGCACUUUUUAUUCUCAAGAUUUACAGACGCAAGGAGAAUGGCGCAAAGAUAUAUGGACAGAAACGAAUAUACUGCUAGAACCAAUAAACAAACAUAAUUGGCCACAGAUGGCCAAGGAAGCCAGAAAUAAAUUCACAAACUACUUUGUUUCACCAGAAGGGGAAGUAGCCUGGCAAUACAGGCGCCUUUAAAUUUUGAUUGAUUUCUGAUGAGAGUGUAAACAUAA